UGGGGAAUUUUGCACAAUGGGGGAAACCCUGAUGCAGCGACGCCGCGUGACUUAGAAGGCCUUCGGGUUGUAAAAAUCUUUUCUAUGGGAAGAAAAUGACAGUACCAUAGGAAUAAGGACCGGCUAAUUACGUGCCAGCAGCCGCGGUAAUACGUAAGGUCCGAGCGUUGUCCGGAAUCAUUGGGCGUAAAGGGUACGUAGGCGGGGAAGCAAGUUAGCAGUGAAAUCCUAUAGCUCAACUAUAGUAAGAUUUUAAAACUGCUCAUCUUGAGGUAUGGAAGGGAAAGUGGAAUUCCUAGUGUAGCUGUGAAAUGCACAGAUAUUAGGAGGAAUACCGGUGGCGAAGGCGACUUUCUGGCCAUACCCUGACGCUGAGGUACGAAAGCGUGGGUAGCAAACAGG
rnacentral:rRNA from 1 species